ACAUAACUUGCUGGCUCUGAAAGAGUACUUUUUAGGGGAACAGGAGGGGGAAAAUCCCUACCUUCUUUUAUUGCCUUCUUUUAUUGCAAAAGAAGGGUAUUGCCUUCUUUUAUUGCAAAAGAAGGGUAUGAAAAAACCGGAUUAUAACAACAAGCGUGCUCCAAAAGUAAUAGAUGCAAAAGUACUAUGGAACACCAGAGUAUUGGAUCGAAAAGUAUCCAACCAAGCACUGAUUUUUUUUAUUACAUGCUUAAAGAUAUGAAAUUGAUAUUUGUUGGAAGGCAUAAAUGUCAAGGAUUAUGGUUUAGUAAUUUCUUAUUAAUAUACUCCCUCCAAUCCUUAAUAAG
rnacentral:lncRNA from 1 species